AGGUGCAGGCCUGUGGA
rnacentral:piRNA from 1 species